rnacentral:lncRNA from 1 species
UCAUCUCCACCUUAUCGAUCUUUUUGGUCUUCGAUUCUUUCACUGAGAUUUUUGGGACAAUGGGAUUGGUCUUCAUGGUCUCAAGCUUCUUGGAGGCUUUGUCGUUUGUUGAUUUGAGUGAUUUGUAGGAGCUUGUACAAUAGAUAAGACCCACGAGAUAGCUUCACAUACGAUGGAUGUACAAAUUCAAAGCUAUCUCUUUGCGGGCG